AUGGCUCAGCCGUUAAAGGCUAGGCUCACAACCAAAAAAUAAGAGU
rnacentral:snRNA from 1 species